AGUGAACGCUGGCGGUAGGCCUAACACAUGCAAGUCGAACGGCAGCACAGUAAGAGCUUGCUCUUACGGGUGGCGAGUGGCGGACGGGUGAGGAAUACAUCGGAAUCUACUUUUUCGUGGGGGAUAACGUAGGGAAACUUACGCUAAUACCGCAUACGACCUACAGGUGAAAGCAGGGGAUCUUCGGACCUUGCGCGAUUGAAUGAGCCGAUGUCGGAUUAGCUAGUUGGCGGGGUAAAGGCCCACCAAGGCGACGAUCCGUAGCUGGUCUGAGAGGAUGAUCAGCCACACUGGAACUGAGACACGGUCCAGACUCCUACGGGAGGCAGCAGUGGGGAAUAUUGGACAAUGGGCGCAAGCCUGAUCCAGCCAUACCGCGUGGGUGAAGAAGGCCUUCGGGUUGUAAAGCCCUUUUGUUGGGAAAGAAAAGCGGCAGGUUAAUACCCCGCUGUUCUGACGGUACCCAAAGAAUAAGCACCGGCUAACUUCGUG
rnacentral:rRNA from 1 species